GUUUAUUACACCUGUUUUUAGAUCUUGUUAUUAAAUACAUGAAAAAGAAGCACAUUAGUUUCAUAAUUUUUUAGCAUUUUGGUAAACUGUUUCCAUUGGUUUCCCUUAUAAUCCUAUACAUUUUAUGGGUUUUGUUGUUGUUGUUGUUCUGUUUUUGAGACAGUCUCACUCUGUUGCCCAGGCUGGAGCACAGUUGUGUGAUCUCAGCUCACUGCAACCCCCACCUCCCGGGUUCUAAGCAAUUCUCCUGCCUCAGCCUCCUGAAUAGCUGAGAUUACAGGCGCAUGCCACCACACCCUGCUAAUUUUUUUGUGGAAAACUCAACCUUUAUUAUUACCUGCCUAGUGCAG
rnacentral:lncRNA from 10 species